AGCUGCAACUCGACUGCAUGAAGCCGGAAUCGCUAGUAAUCGCGGAUCAGAAUGCCGCGGUGAAUACGUUCCCGGGUCUUGUACACACCGCCCGUCACACCAUGGGAGUCGGAAAUGCCCGAAGCCGGUGGCCUAACCGAUAAGGGAGGAGCCGUCGAAGGCAGGUCUGAUGACUGGGGUGAAGUCGUAACAAGGUACC
rnacentral:rRNA from 1 species